CUAUAUACAAAACUGUUUGACAGGAAUGUUAUUUCCUUUCAGUUCCAUGCUGCAGAACAUAAGAACAGCCGUACUGGGUCAGACCAAAGGUCCAUCUAGCCCAGUAUCCUGUCUACCGACAGUGGCCAAUGCCAGGUUCCCCAGAGGGAGUGAACCUAACAGCUGCAGCUUUCCUCAGGACUCCAGGAACAUGACUCUGCCUGGUGUUCAAACGGCCAAUACACUGAAUCUACUAUGGGGAGACGACCCCUGACCCCCUCUGGUGAAGAACUGCAUAAAGCAAUUUAACCAGGUUCAGGAGCCCUGCUGGAAACCUCAGGAGAUCCUCAGGCAGGAACUCUUGAACAAAGGAACUAUGAAAUGGAUAAAAGACAGCCUAAGGGACACUGAUUCGGGAGUCAGCCUGUCAGAGAUGCAGAAGCUUGUCUCACCGAGCCCCAGUGUUGGGGUUGCCUGGGUUAAGUGGGGCCUACUUAAACUGGCAAGGAAAGGCUAAGUAUAGGUCACUAGUUCAAGUGCAAGUCAGAAGAGCAGAAACUGAAAGCUGUGCCAUCUGAUAGCAAUGCGAACCAAGUUGUUUUUCCCUUCCAGUUGUCAGUGAAGAGGCCUCCAUGCCACAAACCCACCAUAACAAUGGGAAAUAAUUAGGGACCUACCAAAUUCACAGCCAUGAAAAACAAUCACGGACCAUGAAAUCUGGUCUUGUGUAUAGUAUAGGGUAAAAGCACACAAAUUUCAUGGGGAAGACCAGGGUUUCUCAAAUUGGGGGUCCUGACCCAAAAGGGAGUUGCAGGGGGGUUGCAAGGUUAUUUUACGGGGGGUUACACUCUUGCCACCCUUACUUCUGCGCUGCCUUCAGAGCUGGGUGGCCAGACAGUGAUGGCUGUUGACUGAAGGCCCAGCUCUUCACGCAGCAGUGCAGAAGUAAGGGUGGCAAUACCAUACUAGGCCAUCCUUACUUCUGCUCUGCUGU